rnacentral:rRNA from 1 species
AAUGAACGCUGGCGGCAGGCCUAACACAUGCAAGUCGAACGGGUCCUUCGGGACUAGUGGCAGACGGGUGAGUAACGCGUGGGAACGUGCCCCUUGGUACGGAAUAGCCCCGGGAAACUGGGAGUAAUACCGUAUGUGGUCGAGAGACGAAAGAUUUAUCGCCAAGGGAUCGGCCCGCGUUGGAUUAGGUAGUUGGUGGGGUAAUGGCCUACCAAGCCGACGAUCCAUAGCUGGUUUGAGAGGAUGAUCAGCCACACUGGGACUGAGACACGGCCCAGACUCCUACGGGAGGCAGCAGUGGGGAAUCUUAGACAAUGGGGGAAACCCUGAUCUAGCCAUGCCGCGUGAUCGAUGAAGGCCUUAGGGUUGUAAAGAUCUUUCAGGUGGGAAGAUAAUGACUGUACCACCAGAAGAAGCCCCGGCUAACUCCGUGCCAGCAGCCGCGGUAA